rnacentral:lncRNA from 1 species
ACUGAGAUGCCGCUAUCUGAACUUGAAGCUAGAUUCUUCCUCCUGAGAAUCUCGUUCUGAAGAAUCAUCACGGUGAUCUCAUCCAUCUUAAUGGUGCUCUUCUUCACUAGAAGAGCAGUCAUUAAGGAUUCAUAUGAAGGGAGAAGCGAUGUUAGUAAAAGCAGCGUCUUGAUGUUCUCUUCAACUUUUUCGUUAAUACUAAG